GACGAACGCUGGCGGCGUGCUUAACACAUGCAAGUCGAACGGAAAGGCCCUGCUUUUGUGGGGUGCUCGAGUGGCGAACGGGUGAGUAACACGUGAGUAACCUGUCCUUGACUUUGGGAUAACUUCAGGAAACUGGGGCUAAUACCGGAUAGGAGCUCCUGCUGCAUGGUGGGGGUUGGUAAGUUUCGGCGGUUGGGGAUGGAUUCGCGGCUUAUCAGCUUGUUGGUGGGGUAGUGGCUUACCAAGGCUUUGACGGGUAGCCGGCCUGAGAGGGUGACCGGCCACAUUGGGACUGAGGUACGGCCCAGACUCCUACGGGCGGCAGCAGUGGGGAAUAUUGCGCAAUGGGCGGAAGCCUGAUGCAGCAACGCCGCGUGCGGAAUGACGGCCUUCGGGUUGUAAACCGCUUUCGCCUGUGACGAAGCGUGAGUGACGGUAAUGGGUAAAGAAGCACCGGCUAACUACGUG
rnacentral:rRNA from 1 species